rnacentral:rRNA from 1 species
UACGGAGGGUGCAAGCGUUAUCCGGAUUCACUGGGUUUAAAGGGAGCGUAGGUGGCUUUGUAAGUCAGUGGUGAAAUCUUAGAGCUUAACUCUAAAACUGCCAUUGAUACUGCUUAGCUUGAAUCACGUCGAGGUGGAUGGAAUAUUACAUGUAGCGGUGAAAUGCUUAGAUAUGUAAUAGAACACCGAUUGCGAAGGCAGUUCACUAGGCGUGUAUUGACACUGAGGCGCGAAAGCGUGGGGAUCAAACAGG